rnacentral:SRP_RNA from 1 species
CUUUUUUAAUUCCUUUUCGAUUUCUUUCCCCUUGUCACAGUUAAUGAUUCGUUAUAUAAUAAUAUAGCUAAUCAUCCAUAGCAUUGGAUUAUGGCAGUUCUGCGGGGCUCGUGCAAGGGAGGCCUGUGAACCGUGUCAGGAUCGAGAGAUAGCAGCACUAAGCGGUAACCUCUUUGUGCCACGAGGGUACCUGUGGAACUGUCAUAAUCGAGUGCUAUGAGUAGUAAAG